CCUACGGGGGCAGCAGGGGGGAAUAUUGCACAAUGGGGGAAACCCUGAUGGAGCGACGCCGCGUGAGUGGAGAAGUAUUUCGGGAUGUAAAGCCCUAUCAGAAGGGAAGAAAAUGACGGUAUCGGAUUAAGAAGCCCCGGCUAACUACGUGCCAGCAGCCGCGGGAAUACGUAGGGGGCAAGCGUGAUCCGGAGUUACUGGGUGUAAAGGGAGCGUAGACGGCAGCGAAAGACGGAAGGGAAAUGCCGGGGCUUAACCCAGGAACUGCUUUGGAAAAGGUGCAGCUAGAGUGCAGGAGAGGCAAGUGGAAUUCCUGGUGUAGCGGUGAAAUGCGUAGAUAUUAGGAGGAACACCAGUGGCGAAGGCGGCUUACUGGACUGUAACUGACGUUGAGGCUCGAAAGCGUGGGGAGCAAACAGGAUUAGAUACCCCUGUAGUC
rnacentral:rRNA from 1 species